rnacentral:rRNA from 1 species
GAUGAACGCUGGCGGCGUGCUUAACACAUGCAAGUCGAACGGGAAACCUUUUAUUGAAGCUUCGGCAGAUUUAGCUGGUUUCUAGUGGCGGACGGGUGAGUAACGCGUGGGUAACCUGCCUUAUACAGGGGGAUAACAGUCAGAAAUGACUGCUAAUACCGCAUAAGCGCACAGAGCUGCAUGGCUCGGCGCGAAAAACUCCGGUGGUAUAAGAUGGACCCGCGUUGGAUUAGCUAGUUGGUGAGGUAACGGCCCACCAAGGCGACGAUCCAUAGCCGGCCUGAGAGGGUGAACGGCCACAUUGGGACUGAGACACGGCCCAGACUCCUACGGGAGGCAGCAGUGGGGAAUAUUGCACAAUGGGGGAAACCCUGAUGCAGCGACGCCGCGUGAAGGAAGAAGUAUCUCGGUAUGUAAACUUCUAUCAGCAGGGAAGAAA